rnacentral:rRNA from 1 species
AUUGAACGCUGGCGGCAGGCCUAACACAUGCAAGUCGAACGGUAACAGGAAGAAGCUUGCUUCUUUGCUGACGAGUGGCGGACGGGUGAGUAAUGUCUGGGAAACUGCCUGAUGGAGGGGGAUAACUACUGGAAACGGUAGCUAAUACCGCAUAACGUCGCAAGACCAAAGAGGGGGACCUUCGGGCCUCUUGCCAUCGGAUGUGCCCAGAUGGGAUUAGCUAGUAGGGGGGGUAACGGCUCACCUAGGCGACGAACCCUAGCUGGUCUGAGAGGAUGACCAGCCACACUGGAACUGAGACACGGUCCAGACUCCUACGGGAGGCAGCAGUGGGGAAUAUUGCACAAUGGGCGCAAGCCUGAUGCAGCCAUGCCGCGUGUAUGAAGAAGGCCUUCGGGUUGUAAAGUACUUUCAGCGGGGAGGAAGGGAGUGAAGUUAAUACCUUUGCUCAUUGACGUUACCCGCAGAAGAAGCACCGGCUAACUCCGUG